GGAAACUUGAAAACUUUUCUCUAUUAUUUGGGGGACGUACUUGUAUAUGGAUUUAAAAUAAUUAUGUUACCUUUUGGCCUCCCUAGUCAUCUGCAGUGGGUUUCAAACCUUUUUUUGAUUUUUCCCUUUAUUUUUUGGAUCGUCAAACAUAAAAUCUUCAUCGAUAUCAAAUUCCAUAUUUAAUUUUAAAUUAAUUGAUAGCAAAAGGGAUUUAAAUUUCAAACUAACACAUGAAACAUGAAAAAAUUCUCACAUAGUUAGGCGUAGGAAUGUUUUCACACCAAUUGAUUCUAUUGUAUGAUAUGAACUAUUUUUAGAGUUUGAAAUCGUAAUUUGUU
rnacentral:lncRNA from 1 species